AUUGGUGGUAACUGUAUGUGUGUGCUAGGAAGGCAGUGUAUUGUUAGCUGGUUGAAAAUCUGACAGCAGCUAACCUACAUCUGCUAUCUUAUUGCACAUACUAUGAUCAUCCAACUGC
rnacentral:pre_miRNA from 15 species